GGGAAAUUAAUAAUCUGUAAGAGGUGCUACUAAAUCCUAACUCCUAGAACUGAGUUUAAGAAAAUGCUGCUCUUAUAUAUAUGAGACCAAGCAUAGAAGCACCCAAUAAGAGGAAAUAAAUCAUUAUCAUCCGAAUGUAAAACAUAAUGCUUUUUAAAAGGAGUACCUCAUGAUGGAAUCAGCUUUCCAGUACGCGUAAAGUGCUCCGAUCCUUGCCAAUAAACACUGUAGGGUUGGUCAAUCCGAAACCUCGUUGGAAUGCCAGGAACGGCAGCCCACAUGGGAUCUCCUUCCCCAAGAAAUGACAUCUCCUCCCACCGCCCUGUUCUUGAUGAGAACACAAGCAGUCUGAGUGGUGACGGCGGCCAUUCCACGGAUUAUAUUUCUCCGAAGCAGGACGAUCUACUAGUUCAUCUCUGCUAUAAUCUUGGUAUAGUAGGGAAUCGAUACCACCUCGUAGUGCGGUGAGACGGCGGGGUCGAAGACGAGGAAGCUACCACACGCGAAGUACUUCUUCCCCAUGUAGAGGGUUGGACGAGGGGGCAGGCUCGCCCACUGCUGAGUGGCCGG
rnacentral:lncRNA from 1 species